UGAGGAAUAUUGCACAAUGGGCGCAAGCCUGAUGCAGCGACGCCGCGUGUGGGAUGAAGGGGCUACGCCUCGUAAACCACUGUAGCCCGGGACGAAAAACGCCUUAGAGGCGUUAGACGGUACCGGGAAAGUAAGGGUUGGCUAACUACGUGCCAGCAGCCGCGGUAAUACGUAGGACCCAAGCGUUGUCCGGAUUUACUGGGAGUAAAGGGUGCGCAGGCGGAUGGGUGAGUCAGGGGUGAAAGUCUGCAGCUUAACUGUAGAAUUGCUUCUGAUACUGCUCAUCUUGAGUUUGGGAGAGGUUGAUGGAAUUCCAGGUGUAGCAGUGAAAUGCGUAGCUUUCUGGAAGAACACCAGUUGCGAAGGCGGUCAACUGGCCCAUAACUGACGCU
rnacentral:rRNA from 1 species